AACGAACGCUGGCGGCAGGCCUAACACAUGCAAGUCGAACGCCCCGCAAGGGGAGUGGCAGACGGGUGAGUAACGCGUGGGAACGUACCCUUCGGUUCGGAAUAACCCGGGGAAACUCGGGCUAAUACCGGAUACGUCCGCAAGGAGAAAGAUUUAUCGCCGAAGGAUCGGCCCGCGUCGGAUUAGCUAGUUGGUGGGGUAAUGGCCCACCAAGGCGACGAUCCGUAGCUGGUCUGAGAGGAUGAUCAGCCACACUGGGACUGAGACACGGCCCAGACUCCUACGGGAGGCAGCAGUGGGGAAUAUUGGACAAUGGGCGAAAGCCUGAUCCAGCCAUGCCG
rnacentral:rRNA from 1 species